CAGCAGUAGGGAAUUUUCGGCAAUGGGGGGAACCCUGACCGAGCAACGCCGCGUGAAGGAAGAAGGAAUUCGUUCUGUAAACUUCUGUUAUAAAGGAAGAAAGACGGAUGGAGGAAAUGACAUCCGAGUGACGGUACUUUAUGAGAAAGCCACGGCUAACUACGUGCCAGCAGCCGCGGUAAUACGUAGGUGGCAAGCGUUAUCCGGAAUUAUUGGGCGUAAAGAGGGAGCAGGCGGCAGCAAAGGUCUGUGGUGAAAGACUGAAGCUUAACUUCAGUAAGCCAUAGAAACCGGGCAGCUAGAGUGCAGGAGAGGAUCGUGGAAUUCCAUGUGUAGCGGUGAAAUGCGUAGAUAUAUGGAGGAACACCAGUGGCGAAGGCGACGAUCUGGCCUGCAACUGACGCUCAGUCCCGAAAGCGUGGGGAGCAAAUAGGAUUAGA
rnacentral:rRNA from 1 species